rnacentral:lncRNA from 1 species
AACAAUGUGUCUUUCCCUCCCCCAGGCCGAUUGCAGCUGUGAGUUUUCUUCCUUGCAUUAUUUGUCUCCAAAUGUGAGAUCGAGCUCUUUUUUUCGGAUAUCUAAAAAAUUGCAUUGUCUGUGAGGCUAUUGUUAGUGAUGAAUUUUGGGGCUAUUGCAGUUUUGAUGAAUUUGAAAUUGGUGUUGAUGGGUUUCUGAGGCUAUUGUUGUUCAUGGAUUGAAAUUGGUAACUGAAAUAGAUUUGAGAAAAGUGUAGCAAAACUAUUUAGAAAAGGUUAACCAGCAGCAAUACAGAUUGUCAUACACAUGGCUUUGUUCUUCAAUAAAAUCUAGGGUAUACAGAUCUCUCACCCUCUCUAUAUCUUCUCUAUAUUUUUGGUGCAGUUAUUUGUACUUAGAUUUCAUGUAUUUAAUUAUAUGGCAAGAAAGAAGCCGAUAGCUUUUUGUUGGUUUGGAAUACUAUUAGCAGGCCAACAAAAUCUUGCAACAUUUGCUUUUACUGCAGGUACCAAAAUCUCCCUUGAGCUUCGAUUCUCAACUGCAAAUGUCUCUGCACCUCCAUCUGCUGCUGGAUAGUGUUUAUCUGUUUCUGACCUUUCGAUUUGUCGUGGUUAAAGGCAUGUGAUUGCUGACUUUCUUGGUUUUCAGUUUUGAACAGUUAAGUUAAUGGUAUUAACUUUACUACUUAUUUCAACUUCUCUAUUUUUCUAAAGUUAUGAAGGGAUAGGAAUUGCCUUGAAAACUGCAGCAGCAACUUGAGGAACAAGAUCAGAUUUCAAGCAAAAGUGUGGAUACUGUUGUUUCAGGUCCUUCAACAUUUCUUAAGCACAAAUAAUUCGGUUAUGGGUCAAUUGCUUGUAUUAUGAAUUGCUUAAGCGUAGAUAAUUGGGAAUUGGUCAUUAAAACCAUAUGUUGAGCUAAACCACAAAUGAUGUUAUUAUAGUUAUCUUGCUGAUAUUCUUUGUUGGCUCUUUGUAUGCUUUUGUGGCAGGUUUGUGGUGGUGGAUUAAAUGAGCCGUACGUUGAGCUGAAGAGGCUUGUGAAUUCACAAGAAAAGUUAUACCAGAUGGCUAGCUAGUUGCAUAUUUAAUAUAUUUAGUAUUUUUGUAAGGCAUAAUAGUAUUAGAUAGAGCAUUUGUUGAAUUUUGACUAUAUUCAAAUGAUGUAUGAAUUCUUUUUUAUGAUAAUAAUAUAUGGAUUUUGAUUAUUUUAUUUUAGAAUCAUUUUUAUUUAUUGAAAUAGUAAAUAAGUAAAAUUGUGAAAAA